rnacentral:rRNA from 1 species
GGGGAUAACACCUGGAAACAGGUGCUAAGACCGCAUAAGCGCACAGACCCGCAUGGGACAGUGUGAAAAACUCCGGUGGUACAAGAUGGAUCCGCGUCUGAUUAGCCAGUUGGCGGGGUAACGGCCCACCAAAGCGACGAUCAGUAGCCGGCCUGAGAGGGUGAACGGCCACAUUGGGACUGAGACACGGCCCAAACUCCUACGGGAGGCAGCAGUGGGGAAUAUUGCACAAUGGGGGAAACCCUGAUGCAGCAACGCCGCGUGAGUGAAGAAGUAAUUCGUUAUGUAAAGCUCUAUCAGCAGGGAAGAAAAUGACGGUACCUGAGUAAGCAGCCCCGGCUAACUACGUGCCAGCAGCCGCGGUAAUACGUAGGGGGCAAGCGUUAUCCGGAUUUACUGGGUGUAAAGGGAGCGUAGACGGUAAAGCAAGUCUGAAGUGAAAUGCCGUGCUCAACACUGGAACUGCUUUGGAAACUGUUUGGCUGGAGUGCAGGAGAGGUAAGUGGAAUUCCUAGUGUAGCGGUGAAAUGCGUAGAUAUUAGGAGGAACACCAGUGGCGGAGGCGGCUUACUGGACUGUAACUGACGUUGAGGCUCGAAAGCGUGGGGAGCAAACAGGAUUAGAUACCCUGGUAGUCCACGCGGUAAACGAUGAU